GUAGAGAGGCUAUAUACAGUAGAGAGGCUAUAUACAGUAGAGAGGCUAUAUACAGUAGAGGCUAUAUACAGUAGAGAGGCUAUAUACAGUAGAGAGGCUAUAUACAGUAGAGAGGCUACAUACAGUAGAGAGGCUACAUACAGUAGAGAGGCUAUAUACAGUAGAGAGGCUAUAUACAGUAGAGAGGCUAUAUACAGUAGAGAGGCUAUAUACAGUAGAGAGGCUAUAUACAGUAGUGAGGCUAUAUACAGUAGAGGCUAUAUACAGUAGAGAGGAUAUAUACAGUAGAGAGGCUAUAUACAGUAGAGAGGCUAUAUACAGUAGAGAGGCUAUAUACAGUAGAGAGGCUAUAUACAGUAGAGAGGCUAUAUACAGUAGAGAGGCUAUAUACAGUAGAGAGGCUAUAUACAGUAGAGAGGCUACAUACAGACACCGGUUAGUCAGGCUGAUUGAGGUAGUAUGUACAUGUAGAUAUGGUUAAAGUGACUAUGCAUAUAUGAUGAACAGAGAGUAGCAGCAGCGUAAAAGGGGGGUUGGGGGG
rnacentral:lncRNA from 1 species